ACUCAAAUGAAUAGACGGGGGCCCGCACAAGCAGUGGAGCAUGUGGUUUAAUUCGAUGCAACGCGAAGAACCUUACCCAGGCUCGAAAUGCAAAGGCAAUCGGCAGAGAUGCCGAGUUCCGCAAGGACUUUUGUAUAGGUGCUGCAUGGCUGUCGUCAGCUCGUGCCGUGAGGUGUUGGGUUAAGUCCCGCAACGAGCGCAACCCUUAUCAUUAGUUGCCAACACGUAAAGGUGGGGACUCUAGUGAGACUGCCUAGGUUAACUAGGAGGAAGGUGAGGAUGACGUCAAGUCCGCAUGGCCUUUAUGUCUGGGGCUACACACGUGCUACAAUGGUCGGUACAGAAGGCAGCAAAACCGCAAGGUGGAGCAAAUCCGUAAAGCCGAUCUCAGUUCGGAUUGUAGUCUGCAACUCGACUACAUGAAGUUGGAAUUGCUAGUAAUGACGUGUCAGCUACAACGUCGUGAAUACGUUCUAGGGCCUUGCACACACCGCCCGU
rnacentral:rRNA from 1 species